UAGUCUGAAAACCAAAAACAUAGAAUCUGGAUUAAAUGGAGAUGGAGAUUCUUCUACAUCUGGAGCCGCCACAACCACCCAUGUUGCAACCGUGCUUCCUUCCAGUGCGGCGGCUUGAAAGUGAGGAAUGAGUGGAUCGGCGGUGAGGAAUGAGUGGAUCGAUGCAGGUUUUGAUUCACGGUUAUCCACGGACAAGGAUUGAUUAUAUCUACCCAGGAAGAACCAUUGGUGUAGGUUUAGAUUCACAGUUAUCCACGGACAAGGUUUUGGAAUUGCUCUAAAUCAUCCAGUUUAGAUGUCCAGAUUCCACUACUAAGCUCUCAAAUGUUGUGGCUGGUAUGAACCAUGAAGUAUGACUUGCUGGUUUUGGAAUUGCUCUAAAUCAUCCGGUUUAGAUGUCCAGAUUCCAUUACUAAGCUCUCAAAUGUUGUGGCUGGUAUGAACCAUAUAGUAUGACUUGCUGGUACGAUCCUACUACUCUAAGCAUAACAGAUCUAUAUUUCUUUUCUUGUUUCUGAAUGUGCUAAAUGCGGAAAAAAAAGAAAAUACAGCAAAAAGAACACAUAGUUUCCAGCUUAGGUAGCUUUCCUCCCAUAAGCAUGCUUAGGUAGCUUUCCUGCCAUAAGCAUUGGUGCAUCCUGAGCACUUGCAUUGGUCCAGGCAGCCCAAUAGUGCCUAAUUUCAAAAAAAGAUGAAAGUUAUGUAAUGCCAUAUAAAACUAAAUUUACAAAUAGAGGGACUAAUGUUACCUUAUAACACCCACAAUGGUUGGUAUGGCAGUGGGUUUUUGUAGUGCAUUUACAGUAA